UUGGAGGGCAAGUCUGGUGCCAGCAGCCGCGGUAAUUCCAGCUCCAAUAGCGUAUAUUAAAGUUGUUGCAGUUAAAAAGCUCGUAGUUGAAUUUCGGGGUUAGUAGGUUGGUCGUGCCUCAGGUAUGUACUGAUCUCACUGAUUCCUCCUUCCUGAUGAACCGUAAUGCCAUUAAUUUGGUGUUGCGGGGAAUCUGGACUGUUACUUUGAAAAAAUUAGAGUGUUUAAAGCAGGCUAACGCUUGAAUACAUUAGCAUGGAAUAAUGAAAUAGGACGUUCGAUCCUAUUUUGUUGGUUUCUAGGAUUGACGUAAUGAUUAAUAGGGAUAGUUGGGGGCAUUAGUAUUCAAUUGUCAGAGGUGAAAUUCUUGGAUUUAUUGAAGACUAACUACUGCGAAAGCAUUUGCCAAGGAUGUUUUCAUUAAUCAAGAACGAAAGUUAGGGGAUCGAAGACGAUCAGAUACCGUCGUAGUCUUAACCAUAAACUAUGCCGACUAGGGAUCGGAUGAUGUUAAUUUUAUAAUGACUCAUUCGGCGCCUUACGGGAAAC
rnacentral:rRNA from 1 species